rnacentral:rRNA from 1 species
UACGUAGGGGGCAAGCGUUGUCCGGAUUUAUUGGGCGUAAAGAGCGUGUAGGCGGCCAGACAGGUCCGUUGUGAAAACUCGAGGCUCAACCUCGAGAUGUCGAUGGAAACCGUCUGGCUAGAGUCCGGAAGAGGAGUGUGGAAUUCCUGGUGUAGCGGUGAAAUGCGCAGAUAUCAGGAAGAACACCUAUGGCGAAGGCGGGUUGCUGGGCCGACACUGACGCUGAGGCGCGAAAGCGUGGGGAGCGAACAGG